rnacentral:ncRNA from 1 species
GAUCCGUAACUUCGGGAAAAGGAUUGGCUCUGAGGGCUGGGUGUAUAGUGCCUGUGUGUUCGUUGUUGGUUGGAGCUGUUUGGGCCCGUUCGUGCCUCGCGGUACGUCUGCGGCACUGGCCUCUAUGUGACCUCAGGUAUUGCGUACACAGUGAACAGCCAACUCAGAACUGGAGCGGACAAGGGGGAUCCGAGUGUUGAUGGCC